rnacentral:rRNA from 1 species
GACGAACGCUGGCGGCGUGCUUAACACAUGCAAGUCGAGCGGUAAGGCCCUUUCGGGGGUACACGAGCGGCGAACGGGUGAGUAACACGUGGGUGACCUGCCCUCAGCUCUGGGAUAAGCCUGGGAAACCGGGUCUAAUACCGGAUAUGACUCCAUGACGCAUGUUGUGGGGUGGAAAGCCUUGUGCGGCUGAGGAUGGGCCCGCGGCCUAUCAGCUUGUUGGUGGGGUGAUGGCCUACCAAGGCGACGACGGGUAGCCGGCCUGAGAGGGCGACCGGCCACACUGGGACUGAGACACGGCCCAGACUCCUACGGGAGGCAGCAGUGGGGAAUCUUGCGCAAUGGGCGAAAGCCCUGACGCAGCGACGCCGCGUGAGGGAUGACGGCCUGGUG